rnacentral:rRNA from 1 species
UACGUAGGGUGCGAGCGUUGUCCGGAAUUAUUGGGCGUAAAGAGCUCGUAGGCGGUCUGUCGCGUCUGCUGUGAAAAUCCGGGGCUCAACCCCGGACUUGCAGUGGGUACGGGCAGACUAGAGUGUGGUAGGGGAGACUGGAAUUCCUGGUGUAGCGGUGAAAUGCGCAGAUAUCAGGAGGAACACCGAUGGCGAAGGCAGGUCUCUGGGCCACUACUGAUGCUGAGAAGCGAAAGCAUGGGGAGCGAACAGG